UACGUAGGGGGCAAGCGUUGUCCGGAAUCAUUGGGCGUAAAGAGCGUGUAGGCGGCCCGAUAAGUCCGCUGUGAAAGUCCAGGGCUCAACCCUGGAAUGCCGGUGGAUACUGUCGGGCUCGAAUCCGGAAGAGGUGAGUGGAAUUCCUGGUGUAGCGGUGAAAUGCGCAGAUAUCAGGAGGAACACCAAUGGCGAAGGCAGCUCACUGGCCCGGUACUGACGCUGAGGUGCGAAAGCGUGGGGAGCAAACAGG
rnacentral:rRNA from 1 species